AGAGAAAGCCAGAGGGCCCAUCAUGGUCAGGAGGGAGCAGGGAGCCACAGCAGAGGCCCCUGUGGGCCCCCCCACAGCAGGCAGGGCCUGUGUUUAAGGUGUUGCCAGGCAACUUGCCACGUGGGGCACCGGGCUGUGGUUGGGACAGCAGCUAGUGAUGCAGAAGCAGACAGAGACCAACAUCAUGGUGACCAGGUUCCAGCUCGGUGGAAUCAUGGAUGGGACCAUAUACACUGACCUGAAAAGACCUGCAAUCACCUACUCAUCCACUCUUAAAUAUGAAGAAACCAAGGCUCAGAGAAAGGAGGUAAACAAACAGCAACCUCAAGAAACAGAUGCGUGCUCUUGACACAACCAAUGAAUGAAACCAUCUGAGGAAGCAAAUGGUUACAGCCUAUUUAGCCUGAGGCAGGCACCAAGGAGAUACUUACGGAAUAUUAAACAGAAGCUCUUCAUCUGCAUCACUUUCAACAAACUGGAGGGGAUGGGGAGGAGGGAGGAGAAAGCAACAAAUAUUUGCUGAGAGCCUACAAUUUCAGGCAUCUCCCACCCUGUUCUACAAAUUGGGGUGCAAUCCAAACAGGCAGCCUUCCUCAGGUUUUGCAAGAUUUAGUAACUUGAAGCUAACUGAUCUUAUUCUAAUAACCAUAGACCAUCCAGUGAAUUCCUAUAAUGGGGAGCCUCCUGAACUGAGAAUUGAAAGAUCGGAGAUUAUGUGCAUUUUUCUGGGGAGAGGGCCCACAGUUUUCGAAUGGCUCUCAAAGGGGCCUGUGCUCUAAAAUGGGAAACACUCAUCCUCUCCCUAGGGCGAGCUUUACCGGGUGAUUCAAGGCAGCCCACGAGACCGAGGGUCAAAGAUAAGAGAAAACGCCCUCAAAACCAAGCUCCCUCAUAGCCCCCACAGCUCUGGAACGGAGCGUUAAGCUGUGUGAAGCCAAAGCGCCCACUUUUCCUCUCUGGGCCUCUUGUUUCCUAGGCGCAAAAUGGGAGACUCAACCCUGCUGGCCUCCCAAAGGCUGGCAGGAGACCGGCACAGGAAAGCGCCUGGCGACGGUGCUGUCGUCCUUUUCAACCUCAGGAGCGCGGCUGACGGAGCCCGCCCGCCGCCCCGGCCCCG